rnacentral:rRNA from 1 species
UCCAAUAGCGUAUAUUAAAGUUGUUGCAGUUAAAAAGCUCGUAGUUGAAUUUCGGGAUCAGUACGUUGGUCAUGCCUUGGUAUGUACUGGUGUAACUGAUUCCUCCCUUCUGACGAACCGUCAUGCCAUUCACUUGGUGUGGCGGGAAAUCAGGACUGUUACUUUGAAAAAAUUAGAGUGUUUAAAGCAGGCUCGCGCUUGAAUACAUUAGCAUGGAAUAAUGAAAUAGGACGUUAAUCCUAUUUUGUUGGUUUCUAGGAUCGACGUAAUGAUUAAUAGGGAUAGUUGGGGGCAUUAGUAUUCAAUUGUCAGAGGUGUAAUUCUUGGAUUUAUUGAAGACUAACUACUGCGAAAGCAUUUGCCAAGGAUGUUUUCAUUAAUCAAGAACGAAAGUUAGGGGAUCGAAGACGAUCAGAUACCGUCGUAGUCUUAACCAUAAACUAUGCCGAUUAGGGAUCGGAUGAUGUUAAUUUUUUAAUGACUCAUUCGGCGCCUUACGGGAAAC